CCAGUUAAGGUCCCCAAAUAUAUGUUAAGUGGAAAAGGAUGUGGGGUUGCUUAGACAACCAGGAUGUUGGCUUAGAAGCAGCCACCAUUGAAAGAGUGCGUAAUAGCUCACUGGUCGAGUGACCCCGCGCCGAAAAUGUACCGGGGCUAAACAUAUUACCGAAACUGUGGAUGAACCUCUUCGGAGGUUCGUGGUAGGAGAGCGUUCUAAGGGCGGUGAAGUCAGACCGGAAGGACUGGUGGAGCGCUUAGAAGUGAGAAUGCCGGUAUGAGUAGCGAAAGAAGGGUGAGAAUCCCUUCCACCGAAUAUCUAAGGUUUCCUGAGGAAGGCUCGUCCGCUCAGGGUUAGUCGGGACCUAAGCCGAGGCCGAUAGGCGUAGGCGAUGGACAACAGGUAGAGAUUCCUGUACCAGUGCUAAUUGUUUAACCGAUGGGGUGACACAGAAGGAUAGGGAAUCGCACGAAUGGAAAUGUGCGUCCAAGCAGUGAGUGUGAGAAGUAGGCAAAUCCGCUUCUCGCGAAGCAUGAGCUGUGAUGGGGAAGGAAAUUAAGUACGGAAGUUCCUGAUUUCACGCUGUCAAGAAAAGCCUCUAGGAAGAGUAGUACUGCCCGUACCGCAAACCGACACAGGUAGAUGAGGAGAGAAUCCUAAGGUGAGCGAGAGAACUCUCGUUAAGGAACUCGGCAAAAUGACCCCGUAACUUCGGGAGAAGGGGUGCUCUAUUAGGGUGCAAGCCCGAGAGAGCCGCAGUGAAUAGGCCCAGGCGACUGUUUAGCAAAAACACAGGUCUCUGCAAAACCGUAAGGUGACGUAUAGGGGCUGACGCCUGCCCGGUGCUGGAAGGUUAAGAGGAGUGCUUAGCUUCGGCGAAGGUACGAAUUGAAGCCCCAGUAAACGGCGGCCGUAACUAUAACGGUCCUAAGGUAGCGAAAUUCCUUGUCGGGUAAGUUCCGACCCGCACGAAAGGCGCAACGAUCUGGGCACUGUCUCAACGAGAGACUCGGUGAAAUUAUAGUACCUGUGAAGAUGCAGGUUACCCGCGACAGGACGGAAAGACCCCGUGGAGCUUUACUGCAACCUGAUAUGGAAUGUUUGUACCGCUUGUACAGGAUAGGUAGGAGCCGAAGAGACGUGUGCGCUAGCAUACGAGGAGGCAAUGGUGGGAUACUACCCUGGCUGUAUGACCAUUCUAACCCGCCACGCUUAGCGCGUGGGGAGACAGUGUCAGGUGGGCAGUUUGACUGGGGCGGUCGCCUCCUAAAGAGUAACGGAGGCGCCCAAAGGUUCCCUCAGAAUGGAUGGAAAUCAUUCGCAGAGUGUAAAGGCACAAGGGAGCUUGACUGCGAGACUGACAAGUCGAGCAGGGACGAAAGUCGGGCUUAGUGAUCCGGUGGUUCCGCAUGGAAGGGCCAUCGCUCAACGGAUAAAAGCUACCCCGGGGAUAACAGGCUUAUCUCCCCCAAGAGUCCACAUCGACGGGGAGGUUUGGCACCUCGAUGUCGGCUCGUCGCAUCCUGGGGCUGUAGUCGGUCCCAAGGGUUGGGCUGUUCGCCCAUUAAAGCGGCACGCGAGCUGGGUUCAGAACGUCGUGAGACAGUUCGGUCCCUAUCCGUCGCGGGCGCAGGAAAUUUGAGAGGAGCUGUCCUUAGUACGAGAGGACCGGGAUGGACACACCGCUGGUGUACCAGUUGUUCCGCCAGGAGCAUCGCUGGGUAGCUAUGUGUGGCAGGGAUAAACGCUGAAAGCAUCUAAGCGUGAAGCCCCCCUCAAGAUGAGAUUUCCCAUUUCUUCGGAAAGUAAGAUCCCUGAAAGAUGAUCAGGUAGAU
rnacentral:rRNA from 1 species